UGGGGCGCCACAGACUCAGACCCACACGCAGUCGGGACUCUACAGGGAGAUGCGGAGUGAAGACGGCCCCCAGAGGUAUCCUGUGCCAGGCUGGAAUAGCCAGGCCCUAGCCCCUCCCCGGCCCCUUGCGGUCCCUGGUUCGGGUGUCCCGGAAGUGCACGGACUUGACCUGGAAGUGGAGGGGAAUCCAGAAGGCGUUGCCGGUAGGCUGGAGGCUCCUGUGCUCCCACCAGUGAAGGGCGGGUUCCUUCUGGAAAGGAGAGGAAAGAAGCGUCUCCAUGCCUGUCGCACCAGCCGCGAGACCCUGGGCAUGCGCUUAACACCUCUGAGCUCAGCCCUCUUGUGGCCCAACUCUUCCGCCGUCUGAGAGCAAACAACUUCAGCAUCGCCUUAGAAUCUAUAUUCCAUUCAUGACAUCGGCAUCUGUGGACAUUUGAAAAGUAUUCAGACGUGUAUGGGUGAGACAGAUCUAUUUAGUCUGCUGACAAUGGAUGGUUCCCUGAUGGAUUCUCCGGAAGAACCCCUACCCGGGUGCCUCCAGGCUGGGGACCAGUCGGGUAUCAACAAAUGAAGUGAGGUCCAAUGGGAUGAUGGAGCAUGGUUGUGAGCGGAGGAGACAAGCACAAUCCGGCUGCAUGUGUUUGCGAUGCCCUAUGAGCACGGGAUUCCGUGGGCCCACAAUUCGUGGGAGCUCAGUGUCUCUCAGCACGAGCACAAGAUAAGUGUAUUACAGGCGUGGACAGCCCUGAAAGGUCACGCUUUCCGUUUGAACCAGAACUCGCUUCCAAUGCAGAAAGAAGGCCCUGGUUCCUGUAGGAACCAGGAACAACUGAGGGGCCCUCCCUGCCACAUGCCGUCUUACAUGUUACUGUCCUGUACCAGCUGACCACUGACGCUGGCAAUGAGGCCCAAAGAAAAGGGAAAGAUGAGGCAGCCCACGGUUUCUUUUCCUUCAGGGCUCGCUUUUCUCAGCAGGAAGCUGAAGGUAGAGCAUGUUGAUGGGAUAUGUGCAUAACAAGAAGCGAAGUAAAAACAGUUUCCGCUGUCCUGGCAAGAACGAAAUACACAUGCAUAUACUGGCUAUGAAAUACAAUCUGUGUAAUUCAGCGAUUCUUUAUAUGAGUUAAUGUUCUUAUAUUUACAUGAAAACUGGCAUUGCACAGCAUAAAGAUAAACAGCAUAAUGUAUGCAAAUAAUUUAAACGUUUUAUUUUAUUUACUUAGAGUGACAUUAAAUAGCAAGCAAUCACUAUGGCAAGAUGAAACAGACAGAAACCACAGGAGGGAAAAAGUUUGCAUUUUGGGGUUUUUAGUGACACGAUUUCCUGCCUUUUUAAGCAGGGGACCCCCAUUUUCACUUUGCAUUGGGCCCUGUACCUGUGCAGCCCGGCUUGCCUUCAGAGCACGUCCAGGUGAUCCCCUCCGGAACCUCUCCAGCCUGCAGCCACUGCCCCACCCCCAAACACCGAGAACUUUCCUGCAAUGGCCACUGCCACCCAUUCAUUCAGUGAGACGUCCUUGUCCUCCCCUCCUUCGUCUUUUUCUAAUGACAUUGCUCUACCUCACAGGACUGUCAGAAGGCACAAGGGGAUUCUGUGACUGGAAAGCUCUGGAAGAUCUUUGUUGUAUUUA